AAAAGGCGUAGCUGAUGGGAAACGGGUUAAUAAUCCUGUACUUGUGCGAUUGUGCGAAGAAGGGACGCAGGAUGGUAGACAGGCCGGUUUUUGGAAUCCGGUGCAAGUGCGUAGGCGUGCUCCGCAGGCAAAUCCGCGGAGAUGAGCCGAGACACGAGUCCGUGGGCGUAAGCCCUGAAGCUGUUGAGCCACGGCUGCCAAGAAAAGCUUCUAAGUUUAGAUCGCGCGAACCGUACCGCAAACCAACUCAGGUGGAUGGGAUGAAUAAUCCAAGGCGCUCGAGAGAACUCUGGCCAAGGAACUCGGCAAAUUGACCCCGUACCUUCGGAAUAAGGGGUGCUCCCCACGGUGAGACAAAUACUUGUUCAGCCCCGGGGAGCCGCAGAGAAAUGGUGGUGGCGACUGUUUACUAAAAACAUAGGUCUGUGCGAAGUCCUACAGACGACGUAUACGGACUGACGCCUGCCCGGUGCCGGAAGGUUAAAAGGAGGAGUCAGCGCAAGCGAAGCUCCGAUUUGAAGCCCCGGUAAACGGCGGCCGUAACUAUAACGGUCCUAAGGUAGCGAAAUUCCUUGUCAGGCAAGUUCCGACCUGCACGAAUGGCGUAACGAUCUCCACGCUGUCUCGGCCAGAGACUCGGUGAAAUUGAAGUCGCGGUGAAAAUGCCGUGUACCCGCAGAAAGACGGAAAGACCCUGUGCACCUUUACUAUAGCUUGACAUUGGGUUUUGAACCUGCAUGUGUAGGAUAGGUGGGAGGCUGUGAAAGCUGUACGCCAGUAUGGCCGGAGCCACCCGUGAAAUACCACCCUUGUUUGUUCAGGACCCUAACUCGCAGCUGUAAUCCAGCGCGAAGACAGUGUCUGGUGGGUAGUUUGACUGGGGCGGUCGCCUCCUAAAGAGUAACGGAGGCAUGCAAAGGUUCCCUCAGGCUGAUUGGAAACCAGCCGUUGAGUGCAAGCGCAUAAGGGAGCCUGACUGCAAGAGAGACAUCUCGAACAGAUACGAAAGUAGGUGCUAGUGAUCCGGUGGUCCCGAAUGGAAGGGCCAUCGCUCAUUGGAUAAAAGGUACGCCGGGGAUAACAGGCUGAUCGCAUCCAAGAGUUCACAUCGACGAUGCGGUUUGGCACCUCGAUGUCGGCUCAUCACAUCCUGGGGCUGAAGCAGGUCCCAAGGGUACGGCUGUUCGCCGUUUAAAGUGGUACGCGAGCUGGGUUUAAAACGUCGUGAGACAGUUUGGUCCCUAUCUUCUGUGGGCGUAGGAGAAUUGAGAGGGUUUGUCCCUAGUACGAGAGGACCGGGAUGAACGCACCACUGGUGGAUCAGUUGUCGCGCCAGCGGCAUAGCUGAGUAGCUAUGUGCGGAAUGGAUAACCGCUGAAAGCAUCUAAGCGGGAAGCCAGCCUCGAGAUAAGUUCUCCCUGUCGCAAGACACUAAAGGGCCGAUGAAGACUACAUCGUUGAUAGGCCGGAGAUGGAAGCGCUGCGAAGCGUGGAGCUGACCGGUACUAAUAGCCCGUGCGCCUU
rnacentral:rRNA from 1 species